rnacentral:rRNA from 1 species
GAUGAACGCUGGCGGCGUGCCUAAUACAUGCAAGUCGAACGAAACUUCUUUAUCACCGAGUGCUUGCACUCACCGAUAAAGAGUUGAGUGGCGAACGGGUGAGUAACACGUGGGCAACCUGCCCAAAAGAGGGGGAUAACACUUGGAAACAGGUGCUAAUACCGCAUAACCAUAGUUACCGCAUGGUAACUAUGUAAAAGGUGGCUAUACUACCGCUUUUGGAUGGGCCCGCGGCGCAUUAGCUAGUUGGUAGGGUAAAGGCUUACCAAGGCAAUGAUGCGUAGCCGAAUUGAGAGGUUCAUCGGCCACAUUGGGACUGAGACACGGCCCAAACUCCUACGGGAGGCAGCAGUAGGGAAUCUUCCACAAUGGGCGAAAGCCUGAUGGAGCAACGCCGCGUGGGUGAAGAAGGUCUUCGGAUCGUAAAACCCUGUUGUUAGAGAAGAAAGUGCGUGAGAGUAACUGUUCACGUUUCGACGGUAUCUAACCAGAAAGCCACGGCUAACUACGUG